UACGUAGGGGGCUAGCGUUGUCCGGAAUCAUUGGGCGUAAAGAGCGUGUAGGCGGCUGGGUAGGUCCGUUGUGAAAACUCGAGGCUCAACCUCGAGACGCCGAUGGAAACCCUCCAGCUAGAGUCCGGAAGAGGAGAGUGGAAUUCCUGGUGUAGCGGUGAAAUGCGCAGAUAUCAGGAGGAACACCGAUGGCGAAGGCAGCUCACUGGGACGGUACUGACGCUGAGACGCGAAAGCGUGGGGAGCAAACAGG
rnacentral:rRNA from 1 species